rnacentral:rRNA from 1 species
GAUGAACGCUGGCGGCGUGCCUAAUACAUGCAAGUCGAGCGAACAGACGAGGAGCUUGCUCCUUUGACGUUAGCGGCGGACGGGUGAGUAACACGUAGGUAACCUACCUAUAAGACUGGGAUAACUUCGGGAAACCGGAGCUAAUACCGGAUAAUAUUUCGAACCGCAUGGUUCGAUAGUGAAAGAUGGCUUUGCUAUCACUUAUAGAUGGACCUGCGCCGUAUUAGCUAGUUGGUAAGGUAACGGCUUACCAAGGCAACGAUACGUAGCCGACCUGAGAGGGUGAUCGGCCACACUGGAACUGAGACACGGUCCAGACUCCUACGAGAGGCAGCAGUAGGGAAUCUUCCGCAAUGGGCGAAAGCCUGACGGAGCAACGCCGCGUGAGUGAUGAAGGUCUUCGGAUCGUAAAACUCUGUUAUUAGGGAAGAACAAACGUGUAAGUAACUGUGCACGUCUUGACGGUACCUAAUCAGAAAGCCACGGCUAACUACGUG